rnacentral:rRNA from 1 species
CGCUGGCGGCAUGCUUACACAUGCAGUCGAACGGUAACAGGUCUUCGGAUGCUGACGAGUGGCGAACGGGUGAGUAAUACAUCGGAACGUGCCCGAUCGUGGGGGAUAACGAGGCGAAAGCUUUGCUAAUACCGCAUACGAUCUACGGAUGAAAGCGGGGGAUCUUCGGACCUCGCGCGGACGGAGCGGCCGAUGGCAGAUUAGGUAGUUGGUGGGAUAAAAGCUUACCAAGCCGACGAUCUGUAGCUGGUCUGAGAGGAUGAUCAGCCACACUGGGACUGAGACACGGCCCAGACUCCUACGGGAGGCAGCAGUGGGGAAUUUUGGACAAUGGGCGAAAGCCUGAUCCGGCCAUGCCGCGUGCAGGAUGAAGGCCUUCGGGUUGUAAACUGCUUUUGUACGGAACGAAAAGCCUCUUUCUAAUAAAGAGGGGUCAUGACGGUACCGUAAGAAUAAGCACCNGCUAACUACGUGCCAGCUUUUCGCGGUAAUACGUAGGGUGCAAGCGUUAAUCGGAAUUACUGGGCGUAAAGCGUGCGCAGGCGGUUUUGUAAGACAGAGGUGAAAUCCCCGGGCUCAACCUGGGAACUGCCUUUGUGACUGCAAGGCUGGAGUGCGGCAGAGGGGGAUGGAAUUCCGCGUGUAGCAGUGAAAUGCGUAGAUAUGCGGAGGAACACCGAUGGCGAAGGCAAUCCCCUGGGCCUGCACUGACGCUCAUGCACGAAAGCGUGGGGAGCAAACAGGAUUAGAUACCUGUAGUCCACGCCCUAAACGAUGUCAACUGGUGUUGGUCUUACUGGCUCAGUAACGAAGCUAACGCGUGAAGUGA